GGGGAAUCUUCCGCAAUGGGCGAAAGCCUGACGGAGCAACGCCGCGUGAGUGAAGAAGGUCUUCGGAUCGUAAAGCUCUGUUGUCGGGGACGAAUGUUGAGACCUAGAACAUAGGUUUCAAAUGACGGUACCUGACGAGGAAGCCACGGCUAACUACGUGCCAGCAGCCGCGGUAAUACGUAGGUGGCGAGCGUUGUCCGGAAUUAUUGGGCGUAAAGGGAGCGCAGGCGGGAAGGUAAGUCUAUCUUAAAAGUGCGGGGCUCAACCCCGUGAGGGGAUAGAAACUAUCAUUCUUGAGUGCAGGAGAGGAAAGCGGAAUUCCUAGUGUAGCGGUGAAAUGCGUAGAUAUUAGGAGGAACACCAGUGGCGAAGGCGGCUUUCUGGACUGUAACUGACGCUGAGGCUCGAAAGCCAGGGGAGCGAAC
rnacentral:rRNA from 1 species